rnacentral:rRNA from 1 species
AUUGAACGCUGGCGGCAUGCCUAAUACAUGCAAGUCGAGCGAGCGGCGGACGGGUGAGUAAUGUAUGGGGAUCGGCCGAUAGAUGGGGAUAACUACUGGAAACGGUAUCUAAUAACGCAUACCAUCGGAUAGACCAUAUGGUAUUAGCUAGUCGGUGAGGUAAUGGCUCACCUAGGCGACGAUCCAUAGCUGGUCUGAGAGGAUGAUCAGUCACACUGGGAAUGGGACACGGACCAGAUUCCUACGGAGGCAGCAGUGGGGAAUAUUGCACAAUGGGCGCUAGCCUGAAGCAGCCAAGCCGCGUGUAUGAAGAACGCCAUAGGGUUGUAAAGUACUUUCAGUCGGGAGGCGUUACCGACAGAAGAAGCACCGGCUAACUCCGUGCCAGCAGCCGCGGUAAUAC